rnacentral:rRNA from 1 species
ACGAACGCUGGCGGCGUGCUUAACACAUGCAAGUCACGGGGGCCCGGUGGCAACAUCGGGCAACCGGCGAACGGGUGCGUAACACGUGAGCAACCUGCCAAUCUGUGGGGGAUAGCCGGCCCAACGGCUGGGUAAUACCGCAUACGCUCAUCGGGGGACAUCCCCUGGUGAGGAAACCUCCGGGGCGGAUUGAGGGGCUCGCGACCUAUCAGCUAGUUGGCGAGGUAACGGCUCACCAAGGCAUCGACGGGUAGCUGGUCUGAGAGGAUGGCCAGCGACAUUGGGACUGCGACACGGCCCAGACUCCUACGGGAGGCAGCAGUGGGGAAUAUUGCGCAAUGGACGAAAGUCUGACGCAGCGACGCCGCAUGUGGGAUGAAGCUCUUCGGGGUGUAAACCACUGUUGCCCGGGAAGAAACUCCUGAUUCGUCAGGACUGACGGUACCGGGUGAGGAAGCACCGGCUAACUCUGU